rnacentral:lncRNA from 1 species
AGAACUUUUGUAGUAUCAUUGCAAUUGCCAUCUUUGCUUCCAUCAUUGCAAAGUUUUGUCCGAUGCAAAUUCGAGGUCCCCAACCAAAUGGAAUAAACGAGACCUGUCCUUUUGUUGCCUUUGACACUCCUUCACUGAAUCUUUCUGGUUUGAAUUCCUUCGCGUCUUCACCCCAUAAUUCCUUGUCAUAAUGAAUUAACACUGUGGGUAUAAAGAGUAGCACUCCAGAUGGUAGACUCAGCUCCCCUAAUUUGACUUCAUGUUUGUUCCUUCUACGAUAUGUUGGUACUGGGGGGAAUAGCCUUAACGUCUCGUGCAAGAUCAUUGUCAUCUAUGGAAAGAAAAAUGUAUUGCUUAAGUUGGGUUAUUUUAAAUUGUCUUACAUAACGAACUUUCCGAAAGUACUUACAAUUUUGAGGCGACUUAGACCUUCCAAAUUUGGUUUUUCAUUUCCGAAGACCUGCAAAACCUCCUCUCUGGCACGUACUUGCCACUCUGGAUGUAGGCUCAACAAAAUCAUUGUCCACACGAGCAACACCGAAGUAGCCUCUUGUCCAGCAAAAUAGAACAACUUGCACUCUUCAAUCAACUCAAUUGUUGUCAUUCCGAAUUCCUUGCUUCCAUGUUGUUCAAUUUCUUUCAUAUUGGAUUCAAGUAAUAUGCCUAAUAAGUCAUUUUUACUAGUCUCCCCUGCUUCCAUUGCCCUCAAUCUUUUGUCAAUGAUACGCCUAAUCGUUGUUUGAACUUGCUUUUCGAUUGCCAGCAUUCUUUUGUUCCUUUUAGUAGGCAAGAACCUAACAAAACAAAUGUAAAAGUAAACAAGAAAAGUCAUUUUAGUAGAAAGUAAUGAACAUGUGAUUUUCCAUAUUAUGUAGAAAUUUCACAAAUAAAUCAUUAUACCUUGAUCCUGGUAUAUAAACUGAACGAGUUAUGUCAAUUACAUACUCAGCUUGUUCUUUCUGAAGUUCAAAUACUAUUCUCCCUUCUUCAUAGCUACUCCCAAAUGCGGUUCGAGAAAUGACUUCACCUGUCAUUAAUUGAAGGUCUGGCCAUACAUCGAGCUCGACUGAUGUUUCCUUUGGAACAAUAUCCUCCCAUUUGCUAAUCAUUUCACUACAACUUUGAUAAAACGCUGGCAACAUAUGCUGUACAAAACAAAUUAAUCGCCAAAACCAGUACUAGUUAUCAGUAGUGGAGCUACAUGUAUUGAAGGGGCUUCAAUUGAAAAUUCGCCAAUGUUCACUAAAUUUAGUAGUAAUAAGAAUAUGAAGUGAAUAUAACCUUUAACUUCUCAACAUGGAAAGCAGGAUUGAUGAUUUUUCUGUGUUUGGCCCAUUUGUCUUCCUCAAGCAACGCAAGACCUAUAGCCAAUAACUUGGCAAAUGGAUUGGGAUGAGCUUGCUUUUGGUACCCAUAAUUCUUUGUGAAAAUCACUUUUACAUGUUCAGGAUCUGUGAUUAACACUAUUGGAUAUGGGCCCAGCCACACAAAAGAAUUUUUACCUGAGAGUAAUCCGUUCUCGAUUAGGAAAAAUAUAAAAAAAAGAAGGGCUCUAAUUUGAUCUCAGCUGACAAGUAAGCACAAGUAAGACCGAUUAUCAACUAUGAAUUCAAAGGGCUCUAAUUGCUUAGGUAAUUGCAUCAGUCAACUAUAGUCUAUAGAGCAGGGGCGGAACUACCAUGGAUCUGCCUCUAGGAUGGAGCUAGGGUACUGAAAAGGGGUUCAUCUAGACCUUCUUUAUAGAAAAAUUAAGCUACAUAUAUACACGAACAGAAAAAAAAUAUUAUUCUUUUAAAGACGAAGAAUAAAAGAAACAUACCAUUUUUGUUGAUGGAGUCAAGGAAAAAAGGGAUGAGCCUUUGAGCUAUAUCAUCAUUAAAAUUGAUGGGCUUAGAUCUAGCUUCAUUGAGUUUAUUUGUGAGUUCCUUCGAAUCUCCGUAGAGUAAUUUGUAUGGAUUUCCCUUUAGACCAUUCUUUCUCAAGUAUUUCUCAAGUUUCUUUGGCUUAAACCAUGCCCAAUUCAACACUUUCCAUGUAUAUACCAACAAAAUUGCAACACAAAUUGCUGCUAUGAUUCUGUUGUAAGAAAUCUCCAUGAAAUUAAUAAGAGUCUUCUUUCUAGCUACUUUUUUUUACUUAGAAAAAAGAGGGGAAGUUAGCUAAUUUUGUAACUUUUUAAUAACAUUGUUGAAUACGCCUCCUCUCCAUUUUCCCCAUUUCUAUCUUGGAUCAGGGGCACAUGACAUACGUUAGAUUUAAUGACUAAUAUUUAAUUGACCAAAGAAAAUAUCUAAGCAUGAUUUAGAUGAUAAAUACAUUGUAUAUUUAGUUCAAAAAAUUAUUGUAAUCCCACAAUCUUAGCAAUAAAUUAUCUUGUCCAUAAAUAUCAUAUAUUACUAAAAGUGGGAAGAAACUAAGUCAAAAGUUGGAUUACGAAAAUACCCCUUACCUAUUAAUUUAUUUACUUAAAAUCAUUUACAAAAAAUAUUUUUUCAUUAAAAUCAACUCCAUAACUACACCUUUUCAUUUUCAUAACUUAUAUUCUAAUAAUAUUCAUUAAUUUUGUGCCUUUAACUCACACAUUAUCAUCUUAAAUUAAUAUUAUUUUCUACUUCUUUUUAGCUUCCAUCAGUUAAAAGAACUUUUCAUAUUCUUUUACCUUCUAUAAAAUCAAUAGUUUUAUCCUUUGGGUCAUUGUCAAAUUAUUAUAUGCUUUCUUUUUAAAAAUACUCAAUAUUUGAUGUAUUUUUAGCACUUUCUGCAACAAAGCUAUAUUCUUUUUAUAUUAGUUUCUUAGACCUUUGUUUUGCUCUUAAUAAUUUUUGUUCUUUAUUGUUCAUUGCUUGCGUUUUCAGUCUUCAGACUUUGUUUUAUAUUAUGCGACUUGUUUUGCUUGGUCAUUUUUUGAAAUUCUCGCAUCUGCUCAAUUGCUUCAUUACCUUCUCUAUCAAUUUAAGAAAUUUGUACUAAUUAGUAUAGAAUCACGUGCACGCACGUGUUCGAGAACUAGUAGUCAAAAAAAAGAGAAGAAAGAAAGACGAAUGUAAUAGAUUUAUUUGUCUUCUUCAUCCAAAACAUGAAGGCAAGACUUAUUCCUCAAAGGCACAAAUUCCUAUGUUGAAAACACUACUUCGAAUAUACUUUUUUCGUCUCAAAAUAAGUGUUGAUUUGGCUUGUUUCACGCUUAUUAAGAAAAAUAACAAAUAAAAGGUAUAGUUUACUAAGUUACCCUUAUUUAUUAGAUGUUUUUUGAGAGUCGAGUACUAUUAAGAAGAAGUAGUUCUUUAAUUCAAGGGUGUAGUUGGAAACAAUUACUAUAUUUUGUUUUCAAUUCUAAAGCGAUUCUUGUUUUGGAACAAUUGUUUUUAGUUGCUAAAGCAACACUUAUUUAGGGACGGAGGGAGUAAAAAUUGAAGUCAUAUCUUCUUUAAAUUAGAUUGGAAGAUUUGGAGAUUGUGUUCUGUUCUAUUUUCCAGUAGUUGUGGUCAGGGGCGGAGCCAAGUAAGGCUAUCUGAAUCCCCUUCCGUGAAAAAUCUAUUGUUUAUGCAUAGUUUUAAAAAAAUUAUAUAUAAAUAGUAGAUAUGGAACCCCUUUGGCCUUCAUGUAUUUUUUAUGUAAUUAGAUUUCGACCUUAUGAAACAAACUUGGAGGACUGGGAGUGAACAAUUUAUAUGCACAAUUAAAUGGAGUUUAUAUAGAUUUUCGUUAUACGGUUAAAGGCUUAACUUGGAUCAAUAGGAACCACUGAUAUAAACUCUUCAUGAGACAAGAUGGAGCAUCAUAACAAGUUUAAACUUAUUCACCCACAAAAGAGAAGUGAAAAAGAAAGUGAACAACGACAAUAACAUUUCAAAACUACAACGUUGAAAUUCGAAAAGAGUGACUUCAGCCAUAGCCCAACUAUUUAGUAGUAUUCGAUCCAUUUCAAAGUUUGCGCAUAAGCAGAGGAGCACCAUACUGUGGAUGAAUAGUAAUUAUUGCAAAUGGAGCAUGUGUAUAAGACGGAGAGAGUUCGAAGGAGAACUUUUGUAGUAUCAUUGCUAUUGCCAUUUUUGCUUCCAUCAUUGCAAAGUUUUGUCCAAUGCAAAUUCGGGGUCCCCAACCAAAUGGAAUAAACGAGACUUGUCCUUUUGUUACCUUUGACACUCCUUCACUGAAUCUUUCUGGUUUGAAUUCCUUCGCGUCUUCGCCCCAUAUUUCCUUGUCAUAAUGAAUAAAGAUUGCAGGUAUAAUGAGUAUCACUCCAGCUGGUAGAUACAGCUCCCCUAAUUUAACUUCUUCUUUGUUCGUUCUACUAAAUACUGGUAAUGGGGGGAAUAGCCUUAACGUCUCGUACAAGAUCAUUGUCACCUAAGGAAAAAAAAAUGCAUUGCAUAAGUUGGAAGUAAAAUUAGGUCACUUCUUAAAAAAUUCAGGGGUCAUGCCUUUCCGAGAUAUUUCAGGAUCCCAGUCCGAACGAUUUCACAUUAAUAGCUACUGGUUUUAUCCUGAUUUUAUAGUUUUCUUGAUCUUUGAAGUUUGAUCUAUGCAACGAUCUUAUGGAAAGUACUUACAAUUUUGAGGCGACUUAGUCCUUCCAAAUCUGGUUUUUCAUUUCCGAAGACCUGCAAAACCUCCUCUCUGGCCCGUACUUGCCACUCUGGAUGUAGGCACAACAAAAUCAUUGUCCACACGAGCAACACUGAAGUGGUCUCUUGUCCAGCAAAAUAGAAUAACUUGCACUCUUCAAUCACUUCUGUUGUUGUCAAUCCGAAACUUUGCUUCCGUGUUGUUCAAUUUCUUUCAUAUUGGAUUCAAGUAAUAUGCCUAAUAAGUCAUCUUUAUUAGUCUCCCCUGCUUCCAUUGCCCUCAAUCUUUUGUCGAUGAUAUGCCUAAUCGUUGUUUGAACUUGCUUUUCGAUUUCCAGCAUUCUUUUGUUCCUUUUAGUAGGCAAGAACCUAACAAAACAAAUUUAAAAGCAAACAAAGUAAUGAACAUGUGAUUUUCCAUAUUAUGAAGAAUUCUCAAAAGUAAAUUAUUAUACCUCGAUCCUGGUAUAUAAAUUGAACGACUUAUGUCCAUUAUAUGCUCAGCUUGUUCUUGCUGAAGUUCAAACACUAUUCUCCCUUCUUCAUAGCUACUACCAAAUGCGGUUCGAGAAAUAACCUCACUGGUCAUUAUUUGAAGGUCGGGCCAUACAUCGAGCUCGUAUGAUGUUUCCUUUGAAACAAUAUCCUCCCAUUUGCUUAUCAUUUCACUACAACUCAUAUAAAAUGCUGGCAACAUAUGCUGUACAAAACAAAUGAAAAUUAAAACAGAAAAUUGAAUUUUCUGUUUUUUUUUUGCCUAAAUUCAAUACAACAAAAAAGAAGCAUAUAUAACCUUUAACUUCUCAACAUGGAAAGCAGGAUUGAUGAUUUUUCUGUGUUUUGCCCAUUUGUCUUCCUCAACCAACACAAGACCUUGAGCCAAUAACUUGGCAAAUGGAUUUGGAUGAGUUUGCUUUUGGUACACAUAAUUCUUUGUCAAAAUCUCCUUUACAUGUUCAGGAUUUGUGAUCAACACUGUUGGAUAUGGGCCUAGCCACAUGAAAGAACUUUUACCUGCCAGUAAUCCGUUUUCGAUUAGAAAAAAAAAGGCAUAAUACAUAAAUAAACACUCAAUUUGAUUUCAGCUGUCAAAUAAGCACUCCAACUUUGAGGUUCAAAUCUAGACACUUCAACUUGGUCUCAACUAGCAACUAAACACUCCAACUGAUCUCUCCACUGUGUCUCGUAAACACCCAACACUAACGUGGCACAUAAAUUUUAGAUAAACUAAUCACAUAGUGGAGACAAAGUUGAGGUGUUUAGAUAUGCAUACUCAAAGUUGCAGUGUUUACUUUCCAACCGAAUGAAUAAAAGAAACAUACCAUUUUUGUUGAUGGAGUCAAGGAAAAAAGGGAUGAGCCUUUGAGUUAUAUCAUCAGAGAUAUUGAUAGGCUUAGACUUAGCUUCAACUAUACUUUUUGUGAGUUCAUUCAAAUCUCCAUAGAGUAACUUAUAUGGAUUUCCCUUUAGGCCUCUUUGCCCUAAGAAAUUCUCCAAUUUUUUUGGCCUAAACCAUGCCCAAUUCAACACUCUCCAUAUAUAUACCAACAAAAUUGCUACACAAAUUGUUGCUAUAAUUGUGUUGUACAAAAUCUCCAUGAAAUUUUAUUUUUCUAGCUGUUUAUUGUUACAUAGAAAAAAGAGGGGAAAAUAGCUAAUUUACCUUUUUUUUAAUUUGUUGUUUGUUGGACUAGAUAAGGCCUAGCUUUUCUCUCUAUAAUAUCGAAGGCAAAAACAUCAUUGUCCAGUACUAAUAAAGUCCUUUGUCCAAUCUGUUUGGAUCCAUUCAAUUUUGUGGGAUUCAAUGAUAUUAUCUAGGGAUAUUAAUAAACGGGUUUCUUAUUUAUUUUCUCGUGUUCUAAAAAAUAAUAUUAAUUUAAAAGUAUUUAUAUAUAACGAAAUAUAUCCCUUGUUAUACUGGAAGAGGUAUAUUUGGAUGGAAGCUAUAAUGGAAGGAGUAUAUUUGGACGAAAAGUAUAACGGAAAGGGAUAUCUAGACUAAAAGUAUAACGAGAUUGGUAUAUUUGAACUCAAAGUAUAGCAAAGAAUAUAUUUAAAUUAUUUUUUAUAGUACAAGUGUAUAUUCGGUUGUUUAUCCGUAUAUAUAGUCUAGAAAAAUACUAUGAGAGGUGGGGAUGGGGCCGUAGGGAUUGUGAGGAUGAAGAUAAGGUGUGCUGGAAGGUUUAGAAGACACAAUCAAUGUGGAAUGUCACUUGUGAUGCUUGUUUUUCCUACUUCUACUACAAAAGUCAUAUUUCAGCUCAUUUUUACGUAACUUGUUUUCGUAGAGAAAAUGUAUUCCAAAAUUUUGACCAAUCAAAAAUGAAAAAACUGAAAUUCCUCCGUGCCGAACACACCCAUAUAAGUUUAAAAAAAGUGUUAUUCCUCUUAAUUUUACAAAACAUUUUUUACGUCAUAAGCUAUUGAAGCCAAUCACAUUUGCUCAUGGCAUACAGCUCAGUAAUAAGAUGUUUACCCUACCAUGAAUCCAAAAAAAUUGAAUUUUAUUAUUUUAAUUUCAUUUUAAACAAUAUUAAAAAUUAUAAAUAAAACGUUACAAACUUUAUAAAAAAAAAAUAAAGAAAACAAAUUAUCUACUUUUUAACAGAAAUAUUUUACAACCGUAAAUGAAACAGCUCAAAUCCGGAUAUUAGUAAAUAAAGUUUUUAAAACAAAAUCCAAGAUAAUGUAUUGAAAACAAAUGACACCAACUGAUUCAAGAGAUCAAGAGAAUUAAUUUUUAUUUUUAUAAGUAAUAAUAUCACUAUAUGAAGUUAAGGAGUUUAUGUCUUUCAAGAAUACUACAUUGAAAAUAAGUAGUAUCUAAAAACAAAAAAAGUAACUCUAAAUUGUUAUUAAUUUUGCAUGUAUAUGUAUAUAUUUAAGAGCUCUCGUUAAAAUUUGAUUUUAUGCUACUAAUUUUAUUAAAAUGCGUUGAGAGUUUUAAAAUCGGUGUUAUGACUAAAUUUUAAGAAUAACAUACUUGUCAUCAUUCGGCAAGUUUCAAAAUUUCAUUGAAACCAUGCACAUGACACAAUCGGAGUGCCAAUGAUUAUGAAUAGUAAUGAAUAUGAACUAGUAAUGUCUAAGGUAUAGAAGAGUUUAAUGCUGGAAACAAGAAAUCUUAAUGAUAUGCAUGAACUUGAGAGUAUAUUACUAUCAUACUAUGUAUUCUGUUGGUUAAGAAUUGAAUAGUUAAAAAUUAUCUUUAUGAAUAUUUAUUAAUGCUAAGUUUGUAUUCAUUACCACUAAAUAAUAAUAAUAAUGGAUGCAAUGGUAUUAUAUAAAUCUUCAUCUAAUUUUUCAUAUUAUAGAUAUUUUAUUUUAUUUUUGGAUUCUCUUCGUAUUUUACAAGCCAAUACUUGAUAAUAUGAAGAUGAGUUGUAACAACAAAAUUCACAACGAGAAAAUAAUCAAAAUUGAUGCUCUUUUGUGGGUGAAUUAGUUUAAACUUGUAAUGAUGCUCCAUCUUGUUUCAUGAAGAGUUUAUAUCAGUGGUUCCAAUUAAUCCAAGUUAAGCCUUUAACCAUAUAACAAAAAUCUAUAUAAACUGCAUUUAAUUGUGCAUAUAAAUUGUUCACUCCCAGUCCUGCAAGUUUGUUUCAUAAGGUCGAAACCUAAUUACAUAAAAAAUACACGAAGAAGCCAAAGGAGUUCAAUAUCUACUAUUCAUACAUAUUUGUUUUUUUAACUAUGCAUAAACAAUAGAUUUUUCACGGAAGGGGUUCAGAGAGCCUUACUUGGCUCCGCCCCUGACCACAACCACUGGAAAAUAGAACACAACAUAAUCUCCAAAUCUUCCAAGCUAAUUUAAAGAAGGCAUGACUUUAAUUUUUAGUCUCACCGUCCCUAAAUGGGUGUUGCUUUAGCAAACAAAAUAAAAGAACAAGAAUCGCUUUAGAAUUCAGAACAAAAAAUAGUAAUUGUUUCCGAAUACACCCUUGUAAUAAAGAACUACUGCUACUUAAUAGUACUCGACUCUCAAAAAACAUAUAAUAAAUAGGGGUAACUUAGCAAACUAUACCUUUUAUUUGUUAUUUUUCUAAUUUUCUUAAUUAGCAUGAAACAAGCCAAAUGGACACACUUAUUUUGAGACGUGAAACAAGCCAAAUGGACACACUUAUUUUGAGACGUGAAACAAGCCAAAUGGACACACUUAUUUUGAGACGAAAAACGUAUAUUGGGAGUAGUUUUUUCAACAUAGGAAUUUGUGCCUUUGAGGAAUAAGUCCAGCCCUCGUGUUUUGGAUGAAGAAGAUAAAUAAAUCUAUUACAUUCGUCUUUUUUUUUUUGACUAUAUUUAUGGACAAGAUAAUAUAUUCCUAAGAUUGUGGGAUUACAAUAAUUUUUUUAACUAAAUAUACAAUGUAUUUAUCAUCUAAAUCAUAUUUUCUUUGGUCAAUUAAAUCUUAGUCAUUAACUGUAACGUAUGCCAUGUGCCCCCAUCCAAGAAAUUGAUUGGCGAAAAUAGAGAGGAGUUGUAUCCAACAAUUAAUGUUAUUAAGAAGAUAUAAAUUAGCUUACUUCCCCUCUUUUUUCUAUGUAAAAUAAAGUAGCUAGAAAGAAGACUCUUAUUACUUUCAUGGAGAUUUCUUACAACAGAAUUAUAGAAGCAAUUUGUGUUGCAAUUUUGUUGGUAUAUACAUGGAGAGUGUUGAAUUGGGCAUGGUUUAAGCCAAAGAAACUUGAAAAAUACUUAAGAAAGAGUGGUCUUAAGGGAAAUCCAUACAAAUUAUUCUAUGGUGAUUUGAACGAACUCACAAAUAAACUAAAUGAAGCUAGAUCUAAGCCCAUCAAUUUCUCUGAUGAUAUAGCCCAAAGGCUCAUCCCUUUUUUCCUUGACUCCAUCUACAAAAAUGGUAUGUUUCUUUUAUUCUUUGUCCUUAAAAGACUAACUUUUUUUCUCUUCUUGUAUAUGUACAAUGUAAUUAAUUUUCUGUAAAGAUGAACCCUUUUUCGAUCGGUACCCUUGCUCCAUCCUAGUGGCAGAUCCGUGGUAACUCUAGAGACUACAGUUGACUGAUGUCAUUACCUAAGCAAUUAGAGCCCUAUGAAUUCAUAGUUGAUAAUUAUAUUAUGCCUUUUUUUUUUAUAUAUUUUUCCUAAGCGAGAACGGAUUACUCUCAGGUAAAAGUUCUUUUGUGUGGCUUGGCCCAUAUCCAGCAGUGUUGAUCACAGAUCCUGAACAUGUAAAAGAGAUUUUCACAAAGAAUUAUGGGUAUCAAAAGAUAGCUCAUCCCAAUCCAUUUGCCAAGUCAUUCGCUAAAGGUCUUGCGUUUCUUGAGGAAGACAAAUGGGCCAAACAUAGAAAAAUCAUCAAUCCUGCUUUCCAUUUUGAGAACUUAAAGGUUAUUUUUUUUACUUCAUAGUCGUAUUACUACUAAAUUUAGCUAACAUGAAGCUCUACUACUGAUAACUAGUACUGGUUUUUGCGAUUAAUUUGUUUUGUACAGCAUAUGUUGCCAGCGUUUUAUCAAAGUUGUAGUGAAAUGAUAAGCAAAUGGGAGGAUAUUGUUCCAAAGGAAACAUCAGUCGAGCUCGAUGUAUGGCCAGACCUUCAAUUAAUGACAGGUGAAGUCAUUUCUCGAACCGCAUUUGGGAGUAGCUAUGAAGAAGGGAGAAAAGUAUUUGAACUUCAGAAAGAACAAGCUGAGUAUGUAAUGGACAUGACUCAUUCAGUUUAUAUACCAGGAUCUAGGUAUAACGAUUUAUUUGUGAAAUUUCUACAUAAUAUGGAAAAUCACAUGUUCAUUACUUUGUCCUAAUUAAAAUAACUUUUCUUGUUUGCUUUUACAUUUGUUUUGUUAGGUUCUUGCCUACUAAAAGGAACAAAAGAAUGAAGGAAAUCGAAAAGCAAAUCCAAACAACGAUUAGGCGUAUCAUCAACAAAAGAUUAAGGGCAAUGGAAGCAGGGGAAACUAGUAAAAAUGACUUAUUAGGCAUAUUACUUGAAUCCAAUAUGAAAGAAAUUGAACAACACGGAAACAAGGAUUUUGGAAUGACAACAAUUGAGUUGAUUGAAGAGUGCAAGUUGUUCUAUUUUGCUGGACAAGAGGGCAAUUCAGUGUUGCUCAUCUGGACGAUGAUUUUGUUGUGCCUACACCCAGAGUGGCAAGUACGUGCCAGAGAGGAGGUCUUGCAGGUCUUUGGAAAUGAAAAAACAAAUUUGGAAGGACUAAGUCGCCUCAAUAUUGUAAGUACUUUCCACAAGUUUGUUAUGUAAGACAAUUUUAAAAUAGAUCAAACUUCAAAGAUGAAGAACACUUUAAAAUUAGAGUAGCUGUUAAAUCGUAUUGCCCAUGAUUAAUGCGAAAUUAUUCCAACUGAGAUCAGAUAGACCACAUUUUCUAUCGUUCUAUUUCAGUCUCAUAGGGGCAAUUAAUUAGUUAGAGACUACUAAAAUAUCUCGGAAAGGCAUGACACCUAAAUUUUACUUCCAACUUAUGCAAUACAUUUUUCUUUCCUUAGGUGACAAUGAUCUUGAACGAGACAUUAAGGCUAUUCCCACCAGUAGCAACAUUUCGUAGAAGGAUUAAAGAAGAAGUCAAAUUAGGGGACCUGAGUCUACCAGCUGGAGUGCAACUCUUCAUACCCACAGUAUUAAUUCAUUAUGACAAGGAAUUAUGGGGUGAAGACGCGAAGGAAUUCAAACCAGAAAGAUUCAGUGAAGGAGUGUCAAAGGCAACAAAAGGAGAGGCCUCGUUUUUUCCAUUUGGCCGGGGACCUCGAAUUUGCAUCGGACAAAACUUUGCAAUGAUGGAAGCAAAGAUGGCAAUAGCAAUGAUACUACAAAAUUUCUCCUUCGAACUCUCUCCGUCUUAUACACAUGCUCCACUUGCAAUAGUUUCUACUCAACCACAGUAUGGUGCUCCUUUACUUAUGCGCAAACUUUGAAAUGGACGUUGCUGAUAUUUAAGAUUAAUGGUGUUGCGUUCUCCGUAUUUCAGGUAGAAUACUAAUAAACUAGUCGGGAUAUGGCUGAUAUCGCUCUUUUCCUAUUUCAACUUUGUAGGUUUCAAAUGUUAUUGUUGUUGUUCACUUGAAUUAGUUUAAACUUGGUAUACUGAUCCAUCUUUUAUCAUGAAGAGUUUAUAUCAGUGGUUCCUAUUGAUCUAAGCCAAGCCUAAAACAAUAUAACGGGAAAUUUUAAAAGUUACCUUUUCUGAAGAAUUCUAUGUAUACUCGCAAUCCCUUAUUGUUACAUAUCAACAUCGGCAAUAUUGAUGAAAAUAUUGAUAUUCAGAUGAUUUCAAUCCUUUGGAAUGGACAUCUGUAUUGAUAAUCACCCCUUCCAUGGAAUAAUCCACAAACCAAUUGUUUGUAUCCCAUUCUCUGCUAUAAUGAAUCAAAAUGAGCAAAGAAUUACUCCGUUGCUUUGGAAUUCAAAACAAAAUAUAGUAAUUGGAAACAAUUACACCGUUGCACUAAAAACGUAAUCUCCCCCUUGGGAACAUUCAUCCUCGAAUGAGAUUCAAGGCAUAUUUUAAACGAAAAGAGUCUAACAUGUGUGUGAGUCAAUGAGGGAGUGAGUAAGCCCAUAAUUUGUAAGGAAGUUGAUUAGUGAGAUCCCCCUAAGGGGUGCACUGGCGACUGACCUUGAUCAUCUUAGAAGGGUUCUAGUGUGAGAAUACGGUCUCGGAACGCUGCCACACUAUCAAAAGUAGAAUCACAAUGUCAAUAUGGUUGUUUUGACACCAAAAUUGCAUUUUUCGGAGACGGGCCCAAAAUCGCGUCUAAAAUGGGACUCUAAAAAACAUCUAAUAAAUAGAGAUCACUUAGUUAACUAUAUCUAUAUUUAAUUCUCCUCACAUUUUUUUGACUUUUUUUUUGUUUCAAUGACUAAUUUAAAUUUAUUAUUUUGAUGGUCAAGUUUAUUUAUGUUUCACUAUUUUUUUUGUAAAAUUUAUUAUAGAUGACCCAUUUUUUUUUUUCAAAUACAAAAACUAAAUUACAAUAUUGCCGAAAAAGAUAGUCUUAAAUUAUUAAUAUACCCACAAAAAAAUUAGUCUUGAAUUUUUUUUCUUUACACUAAGGAAUGAAAUAAAAAAAUAAAAUUAGAAUAAGAAAUAAUCAAAGAAGUCAAAAACAAUAUGUAUGAAAAAGAUUAAAAUAUACCUUGAACUUUUCUAGAAGGAUCAUAUAGGGUUGUUCAAAAACAAACCGAAAAAAGUUAUUUGUUUAUCAAUAUUGGGUUAUUGGUUUAACGGUUUUGAUAACGAUUUUGAUUUUUUUUGUAAUCGGGUUAUCGGUUCUUAACAGUUUGAGUGUUCUCUUAACGGGUUAACCGAUAACCCGAUAGUAAAUUAGAUAAUUAUAUUUAUACCAUUUUGUAUAUAAAGUCCUUGACUUAGAGUUUGGUUUCCUACUUUUAUUUAUGGUUGUCUCAAAUACUUGGUUAUUCUACAAUGUAAAAGUGCCUACUUUUGAGCAAGACGUAACUUGUGAACUCAUGUGCAUGGUUUAUUUGGUUUUUCACCUUGUUUCUAAGUGAUUUUCAAUUGUUUUUUUUUUUGUGUCAAAUCUUAAUGGCUAAACCGAUAACGAUCAAAAACCGGUAAACCAAUAACCAAUAACCAAUAAGCCAAUAUCUUAAUGGUUCUAUAAUGGUUUAGUAUCUCUACAAACCGAUGACCAAUAAGCCAAACCAAUAAACUUCAAAACCGAACCGAAUCGACCAAUACGCAACCCUAGGAUCAUAUAUACCCCUAUAUGAUUUUUAAAAAAAAUUAAAAUUCCAAAAAAUACAAAAUUUAAAAUUAAUUUUUCACUUCCGUUGAAUGAAUGAUAUAUAUGAGCUAAUUUUGUAACAAUAGGAGUAUAUGUGAACCGUUUGUAUAACAGUAAGGUUAUAUAUGAGUCACUUUCAUAAUGAGGAGCAUAUCAGCUCCAAAUGACAAAGUUGAGGGAUAUAUCAAAUUAUUUUCCUUUUCAAAUAUUUUUUAUAGUAUAAGAGUAUAUAUGGUCGUUUUUCCAUAUAUAUAAUCUAGACAAAUACUAUGGAAGGUAGGAGUGGGAUAAGGAUGAUGAGGAUGAAGAUGGGGUGUGUUGGAAGGUUCAGAAGAUACAAUCAAUAUGGAAUAUCACUUUACUUAUUUUUCUUAUUUCCACUACAAAAGUCAUAUUCUAGCUCAUUUUAAGUAGGGAAAAAGGACAAAAUGUACCCCUGAACUAUCGUAAAUGGUAUGCAGAUACCCUCCAUCAUACUUUUGGGACAUUGGUGUCCCUGCCAUCCAAAACCUAGAGAAUAUAUACCCUUCACUCUAAUGGAAGACUAAAUAGGGACACGUGGCACAAUCUUAUCCGUCGAUCCGAUAUUUAAUAAAUGUCGGAUCGAUGGAUAAGAUUAUGUCACGUGUAUAAAUGUUAGUAUAAAGUGUAUAUUUGCUCUAGUUUUUGGUGCUUUCAUUUUCGUACUCUAAUGGCGGUGGUGGGUUUAGAUCGAUUCACUGGCACGGGUAAUCUAGAUGACUGGAUCUUUCGGGCCGAAUGAUACUUCGCUUACCUUGGCUUCCCGGAGAAUGACUGGCUACCUCUUCCUUUCCUCUAUCUCGAUGGUGAAGCACUUGACUGGUUCCGUUGGAUGUAUCGCAAACAAACAAUUUUGGGAUUGGAAGCAUUUCAAGGAAAAGUUAUCUUUGUGCUUUCGAGCAUGAACCACCCUUGAGUUUGCUGUUGCACAUACGCAAAUCACGACUAUUCUUACUUUGCUACAGAAGGUGCAUGACAGUUUUUCAGUUAUGUCUAAGCAACUUGACAACACCCAUAUCUCAAAUUCUAGUAUUUCCAAUAUCACGGGCUUGUCACCAACAAUAGUUCAAGAGGUUGCAAUAGAAGAUGCAAUUGACAGUGCUACUACGAGGGUUAGCGAAGAGAUCGCCUCUGCUUUGGGUGAUGGACAAUCAAGCAUUGCAAAUAAUUUUGAGGUACAUCCUGAGACGUUUGACACUUUGAUCGACAUAAACCUCCUUUUUGCUUGGACAACUUUUGUCAUGGGAGAUCCAUGCAGACCAGGUGUUUGAUGAAAGUUCUCACCAACUUGAAGGCUCAAGUCCAUGAAUUUGACAUGGCUUUGGACUUGGUAGCGGAUAAUUUAGUGGGGUUGCAAAUUCCUUUGCAGGCCACGAGAUCUGUUGAGCCGCCCCUGGUCGAGGAAGGUGAAUGUCUCGAAACUAAAACAGACAUAGUGUUUGAUGGAAGUCUCCAGCGAAAUGAGUUCGACCUACAAUGCCAAUUUGCAAAUUUGCAGCUUGUUGUGACAGACAAAAAAAAUUUCUCAUGAGAUUUUGAGUUCUGAUUUUGAUGAACCAAUAUGAGUUGAUGGAUACGUCUCCCUUAUCCCUCAUGAUGACGUUGCUGCGAUUGCUGAGUUUUUUUCAAUUUGUAUUCAAUCACUCGUGAUUGGCCGAUUUUGGGGACCUAGCAAUGUGUGAGAGUGUGACAGAUGGCUUACCCACUUGUCAUUGGUUUGACACUGGGCAGCAUGUUUCUCCGUUUAUUCCAUUCGUGUUCAGGCUUACGAAGUAUGGCCAUCAUGUAUCUGCAACAGAAUUUGAUAAGAAUGGUUAUCGUCCUAUUAUUGGGGCUCAAGGUAGCAGCAUCCUAAUUUUUGCCAUUAGGUGCUCAAGUUACUAUAGCAACGGGGAUAACUCAAAAAUAGCUUGGGAAGGGGCUUCUCACAAUUGGUUUCUCAAGAUGUCGCGCUACAUCCUAGCUAUGGAAUCAGGCAAUUCAAAGAUGAACCAACUAUUCGACGCAAUGUCGGAUAAAGCUUGCAAGGUAUUCAAUGUUAUGUCCACAUCGUUACUGGUUAGGGUGCUCGCUGAAACACCCAAAGAAACGGGUACUAUUCAGCAAUUUCACUUUAAAGACAGAGAAUGUUUACUGAUUUCUUUUGGUGGUCAAGAAUCUAUAGUGUCGGCUGCACAUUCCACACACGCCCUACCAAGGAGGUAUUUUGAUGUCAACUCUCUUUAUAGUGUCUUGUCUAGACAGAAAAUUGAUUUGGUGGCAUCUAACAACAUAUAUGUUGACAUAAUUCUCAUGAAGUCCACAAUACUUGAUGAUGUUUCAAAGAGAGAAAUACAAUCGAAUGAUGUGAGGAAUGAUGUUAAACAUGUAAAAUUUAAUGAGGGAAUAAGACAUGAUGAAAGUCUCUUUCCAGUCGAUCCCGGUGAGAAUCUGUUCAUGGUUAAACUUGGUGGAAUGGUGAAGGUUAAUUGUGUAUGGGAUCCAGGAAUCAGUUCCAAAAUUAUGCACCGAAAUGGUCUUAUGGAAACCAUUGGCACACACCUAUUGCUGGAAUUUAUUGUUACUAUUUCUCUACUUCUUAAUUACUUUUAUGAUGCUCACUUGAAAGGUAAUACUCAAUCUACAAAAAGGAGGUAGAUGACAGCAAAAGGACUCUCUGUAUUUCCUUAUUUUUGGCUGAGUUUGUCACAGGACAAUGGAUGGCAAGUUUUAGUUGAUGUAUGUGCGUUGGGAGCUAAGAACAUGCCUACGUUGAGUGUAAAACCUUCAUCCUAAAUAGAACCACUUGGUGCAUGGGGUGAUAAAAAUUUAGGCCCCUGUGCAUGGGGUGAUAAAAAUUUAACUGUUGCAGGGAUAAUGGAGCAUCAAAAUGUGUCAACAGACCAAUGUGCAUAUUGGUGUUUGAGAAUGAUAUAUAUUUCUACUGAUGAGAUCUCAUAUUGGGCUGAUACUAUUGUUUGUCCAAUGAACAAUAUUAAUUGCAUGCGUGCUUUCAAGUGCAUCUCUGUUACAGGUAUGGAGACUUGUAAAUUGGUUCAAGGUUGUUCAACCUAUUGAGUUACAUAUAUAGAAAUCACUCUUCACAAGACUAGAUGAAAGCUAAACACCAUAAAAUGUUGAAGAUCUAAAACACACACUGAAGAAAAAAGUUUAACAAUUUUCAAUAUAGGUUAACUAAACUACAACUAUUUUUAAAAGUUUGACGCAUAAGCAGAGGAGCACCAUACUGUGGAUGAAUAGUCACUACUUCAACUGGAGCAUGUGUAUAUGAUGGAGAGAGUUCGAAGGUGAACUUUUGUAGUAUCAUUGCUAUUGCCAUUUUUGCUUCCAUCAUUGCAAAGUUUUGUCCAAUGCAAAUUCGGGGACCCCAACCAAAUGGAAUAAACGAGACUUGUCCAUUUGUUGCCUUUGACACUCCUUCACUGAAUCUUUCAGGUUUGAAUUCCUUCGCCUCUUCACCCCAUAAUUCCUUGUUAUAAUGUACUAAGAUUGCGGGUAUAACGAGUAGUACUUCAGCUGGUAGACUCAGCUCACCCAAUUUAACUUCAUCUUUGUUCCUUCUACCAUAUAUCAGUGCUGGGGGGAAUAGCCUUAACGUCUCGUACAAGAUCAUUGUCACCUAAGGAAAACAAACAUGUAUUACAUAAGUUGGCAGUAGAAUUAGUGCACUAAUGAGAGAAAUUGUGAAAAGUACUUACAAUUUUUAGACGACUAAGUCCUUCAAAAUCUGGUUUUUCAUUUCCGAAUACAUUCAAAACCGCCUCUCUGGCACGUACUUGCCACUCUCGAUGUAGGCACAGUAAUAUCAUCAAAAUAGAAUAACUUGCACUCUUCGAUUACUUCUGUUAUUGUCAAUCCGAAAUCUUUGCUUCCGUGUUGUUCAAUUUCUUUCGUAUUGGAUUCAAGUAAUAUGCCUAAUAAAUCUUCAUUAUUAGUCUCCCCUGCUUGCAUCGCCAUCAAUCUUUUGUCAAUGAUACACCUAAUUGUCGUUUGAAUUUCCUUUUCGAUUUCCAGCAUUCUUUUCUUCUUCUUACUAGGGAAGAACCUAAAAAUAAAAUUUUAAGUAAAUUUCUAUGCUAUGAACUAUGAAGUAGAAAUUUGCUCGAAUGCAUUAAUAUUGUACGUACCUCGACCCUGGUAUAUAAAUCGAAAAAACUUGUUCCAUUACAUACUCAGCUUGUUCUUUCUGAAGUUCAAAUACUAUUCUCCCUUCUUCAUAGCUACUCCCAAAUGCAGUUCGAGAAAUGACUUCACCGGUCAUUAGUUGAAAGUGUGGCCAUACAUCGAGCUCGACUGAUGUUUCCUUUGGAACAGCCUCCUCCCAUUUGCUUAGCAUUUCACUACAACUCUGAUAAAAUGCUAGAACCAUAUGCUGUUACUUAGACAGGUUAAUCACUCAUGAUCACUAUACUAGCUAUACGCAAAAAGAAAAAAAUAGUAAUAUGUAUAACCUUUAGUUUCUCAAAAUGGAAGGCGGGAUUGAUGAUUUUUCUAUAUUUAGCCCAUUUCUGUUCCUCAAGGGUAACGAGACCUCGAACCAAUAACUUCGCGAAUGGAUUAGAAUGCUUAUUCUUGUUAUACACAUAAUGUUUUUCAAAAAUUAUCUUUAUAAGUGAAGGUUCUGUGAUGAAUACUAUAGGCUUGGGGCCUAGCCAGGCAAAAGAAUUUUUACCUGCAGAGUAUUUAGCAGUUUUGUGUUAGUAAAAAAAGCAGGGCUUAUACUAAACCUAAAUCAAACUCUAUAUCGAGUAUCCAGAAUCCAUAAACUCAAAAUCUUAGCUCCAUCCUGGGUACAAACGUUUUACAAGAAGAACUAUACUAUGCCACAAUACUUCAACUAGAGGAGCGACCAGUUGGUUCACCAAACCCCAACCUAGCGUCACAUGUUCUCUUCAAAUACAAGGAGAUCUAGAGACAAACUACCGACUCCUCCAAAAAUUACAUUAUUAAGCGAAAAAUAAUUGUUAGUGGACCACCACCACUUUUUAACAAUUGCAUGAAGUCGAAGACAUAAUUCCGUAGAUAAAAGUUUGCUCCCUUUAAUAGUUUGCAUGAUCACACAUUUAAACAUGAUAUCAGAUCAGGAAAAGCAAAGAUUGGAUUCAUGUCUUAUAUAAAAAAAAAUAUAUGUGAUUGGUCCAUGAAAAGAAUAUGAUUAUGCAGACAUGAUAUCAGAUCAGGCAAGGAAGAAAAAUAAGUAAUAAAAAAAAAAAUUAAAAACUAGAUUGUUGUAGUUACCAUUUUGUUGAUGGAGUCACAGAAAAAAGGGAUGAGCCUUUGAGGUACAUCAUCAGAGAAAUUGAUAGGCUUAGAUUUGGCUUCAUUGAGUUUAUUUGUAAGCUCUUUCAAAUCUCCAUAGAGUAAUUUGUAUGGAUUUCCCUUAAGACCACUCUUUCUUAAGUAUUUCUCAAGUUUUUUUGGGCUUCGUCCUAUACUCAUAUACAAACAUUUAUGCCUUUGGUUUUCUAUAGACACUUUUUCUUUUGAAUUUUCUAUAAAAAAAUUUUAAAUAUUUGCUUUAUGUUAUAUCAUGUAUUCAGAAUAGUAAAUCAGAAAUACUGAGUCCACAUAAUUCACUAUGUGUUCUUAAGAAAUUUAAUCCACUCAAUGUACCCGAGGUUGUGGAUUAUUGCCUCCCAGGAUAAAAUGGAUAUACCUAUUAAAAAAGUAGUGGUACCUCACACUUCAAUAACUUCAGCAAACUCAAAAGUCAGCAACGAAAUCAUCAUACAUAUUAAAGAAGUAGUGAUACCUCACACUUUAGCAACAAAAUCAUACAUAUUAAAGAAGUAGUGGUACCUCACACUUUAAUAAUUUCAGCGAACUCAAAAGACAGCAACGAAAUCACACAAUGACUCUACUUUAAGGAGAAAAUUCCAACAAAAUACUUGGUUUGUAAGAAAAUACGUGUAUGCAGAAGAAGGAAAAAAAUUGAUAUGAUGGUGCGGUGUGAACUCACAUGUUCAGAAUAGGCAUGUCGAUGCCGAGGCCGAGCGAGCGACGAUGAUGCGAGGGCACCCUCUCCUUAGCCCUUUAAGGGGUAAAGGAAGUGUUUCACUAAACAUAAAUUCGAUUGCUAAGAAAAAAAAUUAAAAUCAAUCAAAAGCUAAAUAACCUUGAUAACAUUAACAAAACUGCAGUUAAUGUUUUAAAUUCGAAGCAUGACUUCCGCGAUCACCCAACAAUUUAGUAUCGAUCAUUUGAAUGAUGCAUGUAGAUCAACGUACAACGCAAAUGACGUACAUAUCAUCUUAAAGUUUGCGCAUAAGCAGAGGAGCACCAUACUGAGGAUGAAUAGACACUACUGCAACUGGAGCAUGUGUAUAUGAUGGUGAGAGUUCAAAGGAGAACUUUUGUAGUAUCAUUGUUAUUGCCAUCUUUGCUUCCAUCAUUGCAAAGUUUUGUCCAAUGCAAAUUCGGGGUCCCCAACCAAAUGGAAUAAACGAGACUUGUCCAUUUGUUGCCUUUGACACUCCUUCACUGAAUCUUUCAGGUUUGAAUUCCUUCGCGUCUUCACCCCAUAAUUCCUUGUUAUAAUGUACUAAGAUUGCGGGUAUAACGAGUAGUACUUCAGCUGGCAGACUCAGCUCACCCAAUUUGACUUCAUCUUUGUUCCUUCUACCAUAUAUCGGUGCUGGGGGGAACAACCUUAACGUCUCGUACAAGAUCAUUGUCACCUAAGGAAAACAAACAUGUAUUGCAUAAGUUGACAGUAGAAUUAUUUCACUUAUGAGAAAUUCUGAAAACUACUUACAAUUUUGAGACGACUUAGUCCUUCAAAAUCUGGUUUUUCAUUUCCGAAUACAUUCAAAACCUCCUCUCUUGCACGUACUUGCCA